UUCCGAUGGGUGUUGUUUAUUCAAGAGGACUCGGGUUCACACUCUAUUUGCCGUAGCUCUGCCUCUCUCUCUCUCUCUCUCUCUUAAUGCCGACGUUCUUUCUGCGUUAUAUGUGGUAGGCUCCGACAUCGUUUUCAAAUCUGUGGCAAGGCUCCCCAAAUCAUUAUCUGCGUUGCACUCUCUCUGUUGGAGUUGGAUCUCAAGAUACUUCGCAUCGUUUUCAGAUCUAUGGAUUUAAUAUUGGGAGAAGGACCUUUCCCCAAAUGAUCAGUCUCUCAGAUUCGCCCCAGAAAUCGAUUUUAGCUCCAGUAAUGGGCAUCCACUCAGCACUAUGUUUUUCAUGGUGGCAGUUUCCUAAGCAUGCAAUCAAGAGAUUGUUGAAGAUGAACUGGCAACCUUGCAGUCCAUCAUGGUGAAGCUUAUUCUUAUUACAAGGACUUUGGGAGACAUUGCUAUGAACAAAGAAAAAACCUAUAGAAACAACAGAAGCCCCAGAGUGCCAUGAGCAAAUAGACUGAAUGAAGGGAAGGAGGUGCUGCUAUUCAUUGGAGAGAUUUGAGCACUUUGGAGCUUGCGUACAUCAUUGUUAAUUGAAUUUCAAGAGGGAAUGAAACACGAGAGCAUAAGUGAGAUGAUGACUGCUUACUACUCAGCUGCAUUGUGGCUACAAGAUCAAUGCUUGCCGCAUUGGAAAUUCAGGCAACUCAAAUGUGGUGGCAUGUUAGAGAGGGAGAUAGGAUUUAUGAACAAGAUUUCUCAAGGGAGAAGAGGGUAUGAACAAGAUUUAAUGAAACGUGUAGUUCGGCUCCAUAAGCCAUCAUGUAUGAGA